rnacentral:SRP_RNA from 1 species
CCAUGCCUUUAGACAGCACUGUCUAAGGGAGUUUGGGCCCUGCGCAAUAAGACUCUGUGAACCUUGUCAGGUCCUGACGGAAGCAGCAAUAAGCGGAAGUUCCUAUGUGAUGCAGUUAAAGCCUGCUCAGAAAUUGGGCAGUGCUGUCUAAGGGCAUGG